rnacentral:rRNA from 1 species
GAGCGAAAUACUACCGGCUAAUAUCCGGUGGGGCUGACGGUACCUGAGGAAUAAGCACCGGCUAACUUCGUGCCAGCAGCCGCGGUAAUACGAAGGGUGCAAGCGUUAAUCGGAAUUACUGGGCGUAAAGCGUGCGUAGGCGGUGAUUUAAGUCUGCUGUGAAAUCCCCGGGCUCAACCUGGGAAUGGCAGUGGAUACUGGAUCGCUAGAGUGUGAUAGAGGAUGGUGGAAUUCCCGGUGUAGCGGUGAAAUGCGUAGAGAUCGGGAGGAACAUCAGUGGCGAAGGCGGCCAUCUGGAUCAACACUGACGCUGAGGCACGAAAGCGUGGGGAGCAAACAGGAUUAGAUACCCUGGUAGUCCACGCCCUAAACGAUGCGAACUGGAUGUUGGUCUCAACUCGGAGAUCAGUGUCGAAGCUAACGCGUUAAGUUCGCCGCCUGGGGAGUACGGUCGCAAGACUGAAACUCAAAGGAAUUGACGGGGGCCCGCACAAGCGGUGGAGUAUGUGGUUUAAUUCGAUGCAACGCGAAGAACCUUACCUGGCCUUGACAUGUCUGGAAUCCUGCAGAGAUGC